AUGCUCAAUCGCCCUAACCCAUCCGAUGUUCAAAUUUAUGACCAUCGGAUGUUCAAAGGAUUUCCAAAAUCACCAACACAAACGCAUUCUGAAUAACACGAUUUUGUUCAUGUUCUAGUAUGUGUGAUAUUUGCGCACACCGUACUGUCAAGCGAAGAAUUUCUUCUUCGUCCUCUUUAAAAUAGCCGGCCCUUCUUCGUUGCCAGUUUGACGUUUCGCUUUAAUCGCAGUAGGCUGUGCCCGGUUUGCCAGCUUUAUUUUCGCGUAUCAAAGGUAGUCGGACCGGGAAAGUUUCCGCCGGUGAUUCCGUGCUCGCCACACGAUCGUGAGUGUCAAAAAGUGGUUCCCGAGCGAGGUCAAAGUGGAUCUUGAACCCCGACUAGCGGGAUGAAAACAAUUUUCUAAAUGAGUGAAAUAAAUUUAAUCAUCCAAUCAACCAAGAUGAUGGCAGCACUAGUGGCAAUUUGAGCCUGUUUUCGGGCAACCCGCAUGGCAAAACCUGGGCAUACCGGAGACCACGGAGGAGACCAAGCAAUCGAAACUGCCAAACCCACCGGAAACAGCUGAUGCCGUACAAGCAGUACUCACGCAAGAGGCGGCGUUUUGAAGCGGUCGACGUUGGACAGAUUAUUGGGAAGCAGUGGGGCGAUUCUCUCGAAAGGAGGAUUCCACCACGGAGUACAAGGCUCGAUCGAGGAUCAAGGAAAAAUACUCCGACGCCAUCGUUCCGGAUGUGAUGACCGCAAACACCAUGCAAGUUUGUUGAAUCGAGCUCAACUUGACUCGUAAACUUGAGUAUGAUGGUCAACCUGCCGGAAGAUCACGUUAUUUUGACACACAUUGCCAGCCGGAAGCACAAGAACCGAAGCGGACACGGUCCGGAACAUUGACGCGCCGAAGAACAAGUUCCAACUCCAAAUGCUUACGAGCCUGGCGAAACCGUUUCCGCUAUCAACCGGCUCAAGACAAAAGCUCGAUGGUGGGGCGCCGGACAUACAAGCUCGCCUGACCGACGUCGAUGCCCGAUUGUCGUCGACAGUCUCCUGACUUCCGCCGAGUUGGUCCUUCACCCAGGCGUCGAUCUUGAAGCCUACUCAGAAGACUCAGUGCUGGCCGGCAACGAUCGCCGCUGCACUUCACCAACAAUUGCGGCGCAGCUGUCGGAUCGCCCCUCACGCAACCUUUCUGACCGCGGAUCGCGUCGUCGGACCUUCAACAGCCGCAAUUGCAAACCUGACCGAGCCGGCCAGACGAACUACGAACACAAGAACUUGCGUGUGCGAACGUUGCUGGUCCGUAGAAGCAACUCCCAGCGCCCUCAGGUGGUGCAAGCCGACGCCAAUUCGGGGGAAUGAUCGACAACAUCAAAGCUAGGGCUCUCGAGAGAAUUUCCGGCUCGGAUCUGCAAAGAUUGCUGUCAAACUUCAAGACCCUUUCCGACACGCAAAUCGCCGGAAACUUGAUCGACUGCAAGCGCAAACUCAUCCUGCGCGAUCUGAAACUGUCGCCAAAAAGCUCGUGAUUAAUUAUAGUCAUAGGGAUGACCAAACAACUUAGAUCCAUUAAAAGGUUGUGUGUGACUUUGUAUUAAACUAUAAGUUA